rnacentral:rRNA from 1 species
AUUUUGGACAAUGGGGGCAACCCUGAUCCAGCCAUGCCGCGUGCGGGAAGAAGGCCUUCGGGUUGUAAACCGCUUUUAGCCGGGACGAAAGCCUCACUCCUAAUACGGGUGGGGGUUGACGGUACCGGCGGAAUAAGCACCGGCUAACUACGUGCCAGCAGCCGCGGUAAUACGUAGGGUGCGAGCGUUAAUCGGAAUUACUGGGCGUAAAGCGUGCGCAGGCGGUUCGUUGUGUCGGCGGUGAAAGCCCCGGGCUCAACCUGGGAAUGGCCGUUGAAACUGGCGAACUGGAGUGUGGCAGAGGGGGGUGGAAUUCCGCGUGUUGCAGUGAAAUGCGUAGAGAUGCGGAGGAACACCGAUGGCGAAGGCAGCCCCCUGGGCUGACACUGACGCUCAGGCACGAAAGCGUGGGGAGCAAACAGG